rnacentral:rRNA from 1 species
AUGCACGCUGGCGGCGUGCCUAAUACCUGCAAGUCGCGCGAACAGACGAGGAGCUUACUCCUCUGACGUUAGCGGCGGACGGGUGAGUAACACGUGGAUAACCUACCUAUAAGACUGGGAUAACUUCGGGAAACCGGAGCUAAUACCGGAUAACAUGUUGAACCGCAUGGUUCAACAGUGAAAGACGGUCUUGCUGUCACUUAUAGAUGGAUCCGCGUCGCAUUAGCUAGUUGGUAAGGUAACGGCUUACCAAGGCAACGAUGCGUAGCCGACCUGAGAGGGUGAUCGGCCACACUGGAACUGAGACACGGUCCAGACUCCUACGGGAGGCAGCAGUAGGGAAUCUUCCGCAAUGGGCGAAAGCCUGACGGAGCAACGCCGCGUGAGUGAAGAAGGUCUUCGGAUCGUAAAACUCUGUUAUUAGGGAAGAACAAAUGUGUAAGUAACUAUGCACGUCUUGACGGUACCUAAUCAGAAAGCCACGGCUAACUACGUG